AUUGAACGCUGGCGGCAGGCCUAACACAUGCGAGUCGAGCGGUAACAGGAAGAAGCUUGCUUCUUUGCUGACGAGUGGCGGACGGGUGAGUAAUGUCUGGGAAACUGCCUGAUGGAGGGGGAUAACUACUGGAAACGGUAGCUAAUACCGCAUAAUGUCGCAAGACCAAAGAGGGGGACCUUCGGGCCUCUUGCCAUCGGAUGUGCCCAGAUGGGAUUAGCUAGUAGGUGGGGUAACGGCUCACCUAGGCGACGAUCCCUAGCUGGUCUGAGAGGAUGACCAGCCACACUGGAACUGAGACACGGUCCAGACUCCUACGGGAGGCAGCAGUGGGGAAUAUUGCACAAUGGGCGCAAGCCUGAUGCAGCUAUGCCGCGUGUAUGAAGAAGGCCUUCGGGUUGUAAAGUACUUUCAGCGGGGAGGAAGGGAGUAAAGUUAAUACCUUUGCUCAUUGACGUUACCCGCAGAAGAAGCACCGGCUAACUCCGUG
rnacentral:rRNA from 1 species